GAGGCACCUGGGCGAGGGGGAGAAGGAGGCGGCUCCUCCAGCGUCCGGGAGAGAGGAAGGGCAGGACAGAAAGGAGAGCUGAGGUGCUGCACACCUGCAUUCUCUCUGAAUGGAGAGCUGAGACGCAGGGCUUCAUCAAACAAACGAGUGGGUGAUGAUAUAGGAGAAGGGAACUCGGAAAAAAGAAGAGUCCAGUGUGAGCCAUCCAGCGUUCGAAGUGCCAUUCAAUCGGAGAGAAUAAGCUGUUAUUUUCUAUUGUUUUCAGCAGAAAUAAUCAAUCAAAAUCAAGGAUUAGAUUGUCUGUGGAGGAAACAUGUUUGUGAUAGCCAAGACCUGUUACUGAACAUUGAACACUGAACACUGAUGUCCGCAGGGGAGCUGGCUUUGUGUGGUGUCUUACAGAUCACUUGGUGCUUUCAGGAUAAGGAAAUGUUUCUAAGGAGGAAGUUGGUGAAAGAAAGCAGCAAAACACCCUUCCUUAAAGCGUCCCUGUUUUCAUGCAGUUCCAGAGAUUUGCAUUGGGGCCAGUGGAACAAGCUGCUACCUCUGGAGUGUUCUACAAUGCAACUCAGUGAUGGCAACUCUCCUAAAACCUGGACACAAAAGGACAUUAUGAUUUGCAGAAAUCUAAGUCUAUAACCCAGAGUUAGGUUAUAAAGCAGGCUGUAUGUAAUGAUCACAUGGUGAUGUUACUUAGAGAUCCACAGAGCAAUGCUCUCCUACCAGCCUGAUCUGCCUCCAAAUGUAAUCAGCAGUUCCCUUUCCACAGUGAGUGUGCUAUGCAAAAGAAGCCUGAUACCUACCCUGUCUGCUUUCAAGUCCCAUCCUUGCAAACCUCUUCAUUUGUUCAGCUACUUUUUUGCCCUUGAGCUCUAAAUUCUCCAAAGCUGUCAAGCCAACUCUGAGGAUGAGGAGAAAAGAGCCCCAGUUACAUGCUAAAUUGCCUAUGCCUGCAAAAAUAAUACAUAUGGGCAGAAGAGUGCUUAUGUUUUAAAGCUUAUGAUAUUGAGAGAAAGAUUCACUCUCCCCUGAAGGAGAUGGAGAUAAGAGUAUCUUCCCGUGAAGUUUAUGUAUUAAUUAAAGAGAAAAUAGUGCUCCACUGGAGCAAAUCCUUUGUGUUACUUCCUAAUCAUCAAUUUACAAGAGCAGUUUCUAAAGCGAGACCACCCAUGGAUGGCUCUGAGAUCAUUAACAAGAUAUAAAUCUUUUAAUAAAUCUCAUAGGCAUGGCA
rnacentral:lncRNA from 1 species